GUCCAGUUUAGCCAGAUGUGCUAAAAUACCACAUUCAAAUUAAGUCAUUGUGAUUUAUUUUGAUGUAAACACGCCUUCUUUGUGUACUUACUCUCAUUACAAAGUGCACCUUAUUCACAAAAUAAAACCUGGUGCAAUUACCAUUGAGCUAUUGCUACAUUUUUCCCAAUAAUAACACAAAAAUGAUCAAAUGAAGGAUAAGAAUAACCAGGCAAAUUGUGUUCAUUCUUAGUAACUUCCUAGGGUAUCAGGGUGAUCCUGAAUGCUUAGAAUUUGCAGCAUAGCUUAGCAAAACACAGCAACUUUGUAGGUGGAACAGAUUUCACAGUUGUACUGUAACUACUACAGUUUAUCAUAUAGUUUCAUAUAGUGCUAAAUGAACUGCCAUUUUCCUUCAUACACAUCGGUAAGGUCAGCUAUCCUCUUAAUUUUAUUCACACAUCUCUUUGAAGGUAGAGCAGUGUCCUUAGUACUUUCCAUAUGAAAGGCCCUUAAUUGAAACUAGCAUUCAUCUCAAGUAUUCAUCUGAGCCAAAGCAUAAAGCCUCAUCCUAUUCUCUUUCAGGCCACUGCUAAGCAACAACCUACAGAGGAUUUUUACUGCUUGAAGGGUUGCGGUGAGAGAGGCUUGCAUAAUGAUGCUUUGAGGGGGUCUGUUUUCCUUUCGAUGAAGGUUUAGGGGAUAGAGGUGAAAAGCUAUGUUUAUCUCACUGUGAUCCUCAGACUUUUCAUUUCUUCUGGGACUGAGAGUGUCAGAAGGGCUUUUGGUGAUCGUUGGGGAAUUGGGAGGAAGUAGAGAUGGACAUGGCAAAGCAUGCGGAUAACCGACAUUCCAGGCAAGAAAACACCAUCGGUUAUGUACAAAGGUUCCUGUGUUGCUCCUGCUUCCAGACGGGUGAGAAUGACUGCUUGGAGUACAAUCAGGAAAAGCCACAGAAUCCCAAGGCUGUUGUGGAUGAAGAGAACGUCCUUAUCGUUGUUGAAGAUUUGGGAAUAGACAACCCUGGAUUUAGCCUUUCUGAAGUUGAGCACUGCGGUCCACCUCAACAGAUCACCAUGGGCCGUUCUGCUAGUUCUGUGUCUAUGUGCCAAAGAGCAGCUCUGAAGAAGAAGCUCGCACCACUUUCCUCUUUACCGCUUCAGUCUAGAGCGAUCCAGAACAGUGAGGACGACUCUACUGUUGACUCUCUCCUGUACGGUUCUGGCAGCACUAAUGUUGGAGAUGGUAGUCUUCUCACUCCACCAGUCAUUAACCUCAUACCUCCGACACCUUCCGACGUAAUAGAUGAUGAUCAGUUCUUUGACAUAAACUCAGAAGAAGACAGUCUGCAGCAAACGUCAGGCAGCGAAGGAGUAGACAGUAUUGGCAGUGCUGCUAUGGGAGAGCAAGAGAGUGAGGAAGAUGUAGACCAAGACUUGGAGUCUGAAGGUAAUCAUAAGACCAAAGAUGAAGAACAUCCACAGGUGGAGCCUCCAGAGGAAGAAAUGGCCAAGAAGAAGAGCAUAGACAAGUCUACAAUCCACUUCCUGCGUAGCACCUUUCAUGUACCCCCUCUUCCUGAAUACCCACGAAAAAGGAGCCUCAAUACUGGAAUCAGUUUGCUGCAGUUCACUGAACAUAAUCUAGAUGACCUGAGCAACAAGGAUGCCUGCAGCCAUGAGUUGCUAAAGGAAGAGUUGAGGCUACUACCGCUGAGCAGUAAGAUAAGCAUGUUAACACACCAAAAGAAACCUGCCACUAGGUCCUGUAGUUUGGGCGAUACGGCGCAACAAAGUCAUACCUUUCACUCCACAUGUCAAGAAAGAGAUGAAAUCCUUGAAGAUGAGGAAUCCCCACGCCAAAGGAGGAUAACUGUUGCAUCAUACAUUCCGCAGUCCAAAGACCAUACUGGAAAAAGUGUAGUGAAGUCGAAUUCUAAUGGGUAUAGAGCCAAAUCUUUAGCAGAGCUGAACACAGAGGAGGUUUGCCAGUGGUUUAGUAAUAUUGGUCUACAGAAAUGCCUGCCCUUCAUUAGAGAGGCAGAGUUCAGUGGGUCCCACAUCGCUUCUAUUGAUCUCAACACCCUCGAAAUCCUUCAAGUGUCCAAUCUGGAGGAAAGAGAGAGGCUGCUGUCUGCCAUUUACCAUGAGUUACACCCGCCAAACUCCACCACCCAAAGACUCGACUCCCUCCUUGAAAGAUUUGGUCCACACAAUGUUGAGAAAUUCACAGCAGCUUUGGUUUCCAUGACCAAGUCAAAAUCUUCUCCUCAAGUUAGCAGCAUCAACAUGAACCAAUGUUCAUUCAAAUUCAGACAGAAAGAACAAAAUGCAAAAAUUCAGAAGAACUCGCAUCUCAUUGAAAUCACAGUCAAUGUGUCAGAUCGAACAGUUCAUUUAAGGACCCCCAAAGAGACAAGUGUGGGAAAAGUGGUGGAGUCCUGUCUGAGGAUGCUGGGAAUUAAUGAAGACAAAGAUCACUUCAACCUAAAAAGCAGUGAAGAUGAGUUCUCCCCUGAGCAGCAGAUUGGAGAUUUGCCUGGCUCAGAGACGAGACUAAUGGAGCUUCACUUAUAUAGGAAGGAAACACAGAAAGUGGGUCCUUAUUCAUCAGAUAACAACAUUAUUAGUACCACUGACAAUAUUCCGUGCAAAAAUCUGCUAAACAACACUGGGAAGAUUCAAAAGCUAAAUCAACAGGUGGCCUCCCUUCAAAACGUCAUCAUACAGGUUCAGGAGCUUUACCAUGGUCUGGUAGCCUUCUGUUCAGAGCUGAAGAAGAUGGAGGGGGAGAUGGAUGCAGUGCAAACAGACAGCUUUGAAGUGAAGAGGCUUCUCAGUGAGGCCCAGGACAAUCUGCAAAGGAAAAGACAGAGUCUUCAAACGCUCAGGGACAAUCUUAACACUGCACCAGUGCAGAAGAAUAAGCCAUCAGAGGUCCGACUUCUGGAGAAGAUGAGGCUAAACUGCCAGGUGUUUAAAGACGAGAUCACACUAGUCCACCUCAAUCGACAGGUGGCUCACCUGCGUGAAGUUCUGGAGAAGACACAGGCCAAGGAGAAAGCCAAGAGGAAGAGCCCUACUCUGACUCAGCUGGUCUCUUUGCAGUCUCCUGUCAUGCUGGUGGCCACCCAAGUGAAAGCAGACCCAGACGGUCAUUACGGUUUCUCUGCGCACUGGGUAGAGGGCCAGGGCCUGAUGGUGGUACAUAGUGAGGGUGCUAAUCUCUGCCUGAAUGACAGGCUGGUGGAGGUUAACGGAGUGGACGUCUUGGGGAGCAGUGAGGAUGAGUUGGAGCUGAUGCUUAAGACACACACUGCCCACAUUGUUGUUCUUCGCCAGCUGGCCCAAGAACUUCCACAGGAAGACCCAUCUGCCCCCACUUCAGACAGAUUUCUGCUCUGAGGGAUCAACAGGACAUACAAAUGCUGCAGAAACAUCAAGCAAUGUAAACCAACUAAACACUGUCCAGAUUAAUACUUUCUUUCCUGUCUUACUGGAGGAACACACUCAGACACACCUGAAUUGGUCAUAUCUUAUGUUUUAUCCCACUUAUUACUAUAAUGACAUUUGUCUUGUAAGAGAAGAGGAUUAUAUGUUCACCCUGCAUUACAGUCUCUGGGUCAUUUCAGGGCAGUUUCAUUUUUGGGUGUUUUUGGGUUUAUACAAAUGUAAUAGCCAUAGUCUCAAUUAAUGGGUGGGUCAGUCAAAAACUGCUCAUAAAAAUGGCAAUUUUUGGCAAAAUGGGCAUUUUGAAUUCUAAAUUGCAUUGAACCAUGAAGGUCAAGUUGGCAAAAUAACUUUCACUUUGUACACUUUUUUAAAAAGCAGCUGUGGUGAAAUAGGAGGCAAGGAAACUUCCUGUAAGACUGACAUUAAUAAAAAUACAGAUAUCAAAGCAAAACUUCUUUUUUAAAUGGGUAAAUAUUUAUUUUUUAUUUAUUAUUACAAAGAUUGACUCAAGGAGCGUCAUGAAGUGAUGUAGUGAAAGUCCUAACCACAUGAUUGUAUUAAGAGUAUGUUAAAGGAUUUUUAUAUGAAUUUGUGGUCACACUUUAUUUUAAGGUCCAGUUUUCACUAUUAACCAACUAUUAACUAUGACAUUUGCCUUAAUAAACUCCUAAUUUGCUGAUCAUUAAUAGUUAGUAAGGUAGUUGUUAAGUUUAUAGGGGAUGUAGAAUAUGGUCAUGCAGAAUAUGUGCUUCAUAAUAUACAGCCAGUAUGUUAAUAAUAGGCAUGCUAAUAAGCAACUAGUUAAUAGUGAGAAUUGGUCCCUAUUCUAAGGUGUAACUGAAUUUCAAGAGUUCAUUUGCAAAAACAGAAAACUCAGUUUUAACAAAUUUCAAAAAUCAUGUUUUUUCAUUGUGCAUUCCAAUCAAUCUCAAUCAAACUGCAGUUGGGUUAUUUUGAUUAGGUAAAAAAAUAACUAAAAAAUACAGCUAACUAAUCAGUGUUAAAAUAGAGCCACAUACACACACUAAAGUGUGACAGAUGUGCUGGUUUAGCCCCGCUUCUUGAUGCCUCUGUGGACCCCGUGUAUCCGGUCUUGUGGUUAAACCUUGUGGAUUUCAUUGUAAGCCUAUUAAUAAGAGACUGGGCAUUCUAGCUGGCAUGUGGGUCCUGCAAAUGGAGGAAGCUGACCUGACCCAUGACCUCUUGACCUUUGUGGUGGAAUUAUGUGGUCAUGUGAAUCUAACUGUGGGAGUUGAAGAAAGUCUCGAGGAAAGGAAUCGUGCUAUUACUGAUGUAGUGGAAGUGAAUUACACUCUGUGUAAGUAUGUUCAAGUACAGUGCGUGAUUCAUUUGCCAUUGUUCAGACUGUGUUCACAGUGUUUUUCUCACAGGCAACUGAAAUGUACAGAACAUCGCAUGAACACUAAUCUAAGGUACAACUAAUACAUUCAUCAAAACCGCCACAUUUGUCAUCAAACAAAUGUGCCUUUAGUGAAUCGGCCCAUGGGAAGUAUAAAACAAUCAACAGGAAGUGUCCAUCCAAAGCUAACACGAUAAAGAUAAAAUAUGAUUUAGCUGCACAAACUGUUCACACAAGAGAGGGCAAUCCAAACAUACUUUCAUAAACAGUGCUCCUGGCAAGGAAAGAAAGACAUUGUGGGAUUCUCAGUAGCCUACACCCUUCCCCACCCUCUCCAGUCAUGACAUGUCUCCUAAAAAUGCUCUUUCUUUAUUUUCUUUUUGAUAAAUAAAAAACAAGCAUAAGAAUAAUGAAGAGAAGAUUGAUUUAUAAUACAAAAACCAUAGUUGCACAAAAAUGAAAUAAAAAAGGAACUGUGGGGAAAGAUAUAAAAUAUCUGUAUCAGUUGCUAAAUAUUAAGAAAGCGAAUACAGUUCUCUCAUCACUUGAGGGCAAAACAUGUUUCUGAUUCCUGUGGGUCUUUUCUUUGUUUUCUCUCACAGCAAAACCAAUCUGAUAACAAACCCACCUAAAAUAAUAAUAAUCUCUUGUGUGUGAUUCAAUAAGUAAAUACUGCAGUAUAUGCAAAUACUUGAUCAUUAUUGUGUUGAGUGACAUUGCUGUUCAACUAAAACACGAAAAUAUGUUAUUGUAUAUUUUAACACUUUACAAUAAUAUGACUGUUCAUUGUUAGUUCAUGUUAGCACAGUGUUAUUAAAUAAUAGUAUCUCUUAAUAAUAGAUCUAUUAAUAAAUGUUAAAAAAUGAACAUUAAACAGAAUUAACAAAUGCUUUAUAAGUAUUUUUCUUAUUACUUUCCUUAUUGGUUUUUUUUUUUUUUUUUUUUGUAUUGUUGUUUUUAAUAUUUAUUCAUGAAAUGUGUUUCAUUUUUUAUUAAAAUAUGUGUUUAAGUAAGCACAUUUAAACAUAAAUUCUGCUAAUGGUGCUAUUUCUAAUUUAUUUUACACUGCAGUUCUUGAAAUGAGUCCAGACCUAUCAUCUGUGUAUGAAAGACCUGAGGAUGCCACAGCAUGAAUAUUCCCAUCAUCACAGCAGGAAUUGCUCCAGCGCACCGUCUGUCAGACAUAGCUGCUAAAGUUUAUGGAGCAGAAACAUUUGCCACAUGCAGACGUAUAGUUCAUUUCUGAGGGAUUGCCUUCCCUCUGGCCAGAAACCUCCAUAUAUGUAUUCUGUUAGGAUCUUAAGCCAGUAAAAAUAGUUUGGCCUCUUUUAAAGGGAAAAAAGUUUCGCUUAACAAACAGAGGGGGCAGCUUGGCAUUUCAGAGUUGUUUUUUGGGGGGUGUUGAAGCAAAGUGAGGGUGGCUGUGGCUGUGGCUUUUCAGGGCUUUCUGGCAGGCUGUACUUUAACUUAACAGCCAGUGCAAUAUGUCUAGAGGACACCAACUGGUAUGUGUGUGUACCGCAUUCAAAGACUAUAUCAGCUCAGUCUACAGGGCCACUGACGUAUCGUUUAACAUGGACACGUUUAUCCUUGUAAUGUAUACAAUGUGUAUUGUUAGUGUCAGUUGAUAUUUAAAUAUAAACCCAGAGCAUUUCGACCUUAUGGUGUGUGUACAGAGUUAAACAGCUGCAGCCAAUCGAUCCAAGUACACACAAUUUAGCUGUCUAUCCUUUCACUCCCUCUUUACAUCCGAAUGAGUCAUUCAAGGCAAGGACAUUUAAAUAUCUGCCAAGUUCCAUGACAUGCAGUGACAAUCUUGUCUCCAUUUACUCCAAACAUCACUGGAUAGACUCAGGACUAUCGCCCAAAAUGGGUCACUAAAGAUGAUGGAAAGGAGUCUGUUAUUAACAACAUAUGCUUUUUUAGGAUAUAUGCAUUUUUGGAUGGUAUACAGGAGGAAGAUGUUCUAGCUGUGCACUCUUGCAUUGCGCUUGUUGGCUGACCCUCGAAAUCGUACAGUAACACCCCUGGGCGUCUGUUCUGUUUUAGUAUUGUAGAUAUGACCAACUCCAGCUUUCCAGAUAAGAAGAAGCAGACAUCUGUCUCUCUCUCUGAACUCAGCACUUCCAGGUUCAUCUCUCUCCCAUCUGCCCCCCAUAACAUGAGCCCCACUCCUGCCCACCCCACAUUUAAGGAGCUCCUGACAUUUGUUUGAAGUUAGUGUAGGCAUUAGCUCUGGUUUCCUGCUUCAAAUCCCUAUGCAGACACAAUAAAAGGUCUGUAGGUUGAAAAUUCACUAAAGUAGAUUACUGUCUGUACAGAAAUGUAAUAUAAACAAACUUGGCAUUUACUGGCUAUUAUGAGGAAAUUUCUCUGGCACCCAGUGACCUUCCCCCUCAUGAGGCUGUAUGGUUAGUCUGAGAUAGACAGGAACUCCUUGUAACCCCUACCAGCAUAGUUUUACCACUUCAUCGACAGCUGACCAGUUACGCAGAUUUUAUAUACAAUAUUACAUAUAAGUAACAUUGUAUGAGUAAGAGUGAAUGAGAGUGAGACUGCUUUCAUAAAAAUUCAAUAAACUAAUAAAACCAUAUCCAAAGGAAAAUUAACCACUGUUUCUAUGAACAACACACAGUAGUGGCAUUACUUAAUAAAUCAUUGUUUUUGAAUGAAUCGGUUGUAUGAAUAAUUCAUUUACUCACUCAUAAAUACUGGUUUUCCUGAAUGAUUCAAUGCUGUUGAACGAAUUAAUGACUCAUAAAGACUGGGCCUGUCCCAAUAAGCACACUUUUGCUUUUUGCACUCGAACACUUGUCCACUUACGUGAUCAUUUCCAGUAUUUGAUCCAAGUGUUCAAGUGGGCGUGAAGACCACAAGUGUGAGUAGAACUUUUGAUUACUCAGUUAGUAAAGUUUUUACAAAGCUUUAUUUACACAUUUUGAUUUUCUAUAUUUUAUACUUUAAAAUAAACUAAAUGUCUUUUCAGUAGUCCUUACAUAACAGACAACUUAAUUGUGGUGCAUCUAAUAAAGUGAUAAAAGCAGUUUUGCAAACGUUUUACAAAAUACACAUAUUCAUUUCUGCACAAACAAAUUCUGCAACACUUUACAUUUUAUUACCAAAUUAUGAGUAGUUCUAACAUAUACUUACAGUGGAAAGUAUUCCUCAAACUUUUAUGCUUUUUGGUGCAUGAGUUUCUGAAUUCAUGUGAUAAAUGAUAGAUGGGAUACGCUUAGCCUCAAA
ensembl:lncRNA